rnacentral:rRNA from 1 species
CCUACGGGUGGCACCAGUGGGGAAUAUUGCACAAUGGGCGCAAGCCUGAUGCAGCCAUGCCGCGUGUAUGAAGAAGGCCCUAGGGUUGUAAAGUACUUUCAGUCGGGAGGAAGGCGUUGAUGCUAAUAUCAUCAACGAUUGACGUUACCGACCGAAGAAGCACCGGCUGACUCCGUGCCAGCAGCCGCGGUAAUACGGAGGGUGCAAGCGUUAAUCGGAAUUACUGGGCGUAAAGCGCACGCAGGCGGUUGAUUAAGUUAGAUGUGAAAUCCCCGGGCUUAACCUGGGAAUGGCAUCUAAGACUGGUCAGCUAGAGUCUUGUAGAGGGGGGUG